CUCUCUUUCUGGUUCUUUUGUAUAAUAUCACAACUCGUUGCUCCUAUGUUCUUCUGUAUAUAUACACACUCUUCUUAUAUACGUGGAACUAUAGAUUUCGUGGAUGAUUUAAUUAAAGGAUUGACUGAAGAGAAAGAGACGUAGGAGGAAGAAGAAUAAUGGUUCACUACAUAUUAAGAUGAUCAUCAGCAGCAACAGAAAUUUGAAACUAUUGUUUGUAAAUCCUCUCAAUUUCACAUUAUGGAAGAAGAAAAUUAGGGUGUGUUUGAUCAGGGAAGAUGGAUGAAUCGGUGAAGAGAAUCAAAGGAAGAGAUGCUUCUGUUGCUGCUAUUUUCAAUAGAGUUAGGGUUUAGUGGAGUUUCAAGACCAGAAAUCAAUCAAGGAAAGGAUCUGUUAUUUUUGAGGUCGAGAUUCAGAAGGGUUUAAAGUUCAGAAAUAAGAUGGGGUUUACAAGGAAUCACUGAGUCUGGUAUUCAAGUAAUUACGGUGGCUGAAUUGAUGAGAAAUGGAGAUGUUGGAUGAUUUGUGAAAGCAAAUGGUAAUGUUACUAAAUUUUUGGGUUUCUCUUGAAGACUAAUGAAGAAAUUAAGAUGGGUCUGUUUACAGGUUAGGCUGUUGAUUAAAUGGUGAAUUUGAGUUGUAACUGAGAAGGUGUAGCUGUUGUAUGUGGAGAGCUUGGUGCUGAGAUUAAGUACAAGUAAGUGUUGCUGCUAUGAUCAAUUCUAGAGCAGCUAGGUGUUGGUGGUUAUGAAUUCAGAAGACAUGGUGUUGUGGUUAAGUUCUUUAUGGUGAGGCUAUGUUAAUGUAGAGAGAUGAUGUGUUGAGAUAAGCUGCAGGUGAUGGUUGCAGAGAAAGACAAACAAAUCUGAAUGUUGCUGCUAGCAUUGAGUAGAAUUAGAGCUUGGAGAAGAUGCAGUUACAAUGGUGAUUGUGUGCAGUUCAGGUUAAGAACAGAAAGAAUGAGGCAGGUACUAAUGGUGAGUCAUGGAAGAUGACUAGUGGUUGCUGCCAAGGGAAGUGAGUUGCAGUUGAAUUUGCAAGUAGAUGAGCAACAACUAGAGGUAAAGCAAUUGCUUGGAUGGGUUGGUGCUGGUGCAGGAAAGGAAAGGGUGUAGUGUUAUAAUGAGCUGCAACUGAGAUGAUAGUGGAGUUGCUAAUGGUGCCACCAUGUAUCGUUUAUUUCUCAUUCCUUAUCAAUGUUGACUGUGGGAUUUCAUAGUAAUGAUUUCAGUUUGUUUUAUCUCGUAUCGAGUCACGAGUUAACUCUCUGCUCGAUCACUGGUUAAUUCGUUCCCAGUUAACUGAUUCAAGGGCUUAAAUGUCUUUUUAUA